rnacentral:rRNA from 1 species
GACGAACGCUGGCGGCGUGCUUAACACAUGCAAGUCGUGCGGUAAGGCCCUGCUUUGGUGGGGUACACGAGCGGCGAACGGGUGAGUAACACGUGAGUGACCUGCCUUCAACUUUGGGAUAAGCCUCGGAAAUGGGGUCUAAUACCGGAUAUGAUUCUGCGCUUCAUGGUGUGGGGUUGAAAGCCUUUUGGGGUGGUUGGGAGUGGCGUCNCGGCCUAUCAGCUUGUUGGUGGGGUGGANGGCCUACCAAGGCGGUGACGGGUAGCCGGCCGUGAGAGGGCGACCGGCCGACACUGGGACUGAGGACACGGCCCACGACUCCUACGGGGAGGCGAGCAGUGGGGAAGUAUUGCGCAAUGGACGGAAGUCUGACGCAGCAACGCCGCGUGAGGGAUGACGGCC